GUAAACAUAGUUUAAUAAAAACACUGGAUUGUGAAUCCAGAAAUAGAGACUAAAACCCCUUGUUUACC
rnacentral:tRNA from 1 species